GCAAAGUGUCCAGAGGAAGAACUUCUGGAAGGACUUACUCCCACAGAGCUUGGCAUAGCUUUCUCAUCUCCCAGACGGCAGAUCAGGCACUGGCUCCAUCCAUCACAACCGGGGUCUGGAGCUGGGGGAGGGGUGCGUCUAGGAACAACUCACUGUGGCGAAGGAUUCAGUAUAGCAUCCAGUACCUGUCCCACCUCACCCAUCGGACCCUGGGAGUCAGCAUACAGAUUUCCUGAAGCCUAGUGAACAGCAUCAGGCCAGCCACUGUCUCUCUCUAGGGAUCCUGAUAUCACAGGUAAUGAAUGGGAAUUUGACAUCUAUUUCAUUUGCAAAUAAGGCAAGGUAAUAAAGUGUCCGUGGACGGACCGAAGUGAGACACCAGCUGGAGAGGCAGCAAGAAGGCUGGAAGCCCAGGAAGGGGGCAGCAGAUCUGCAGGCCCGGGAAGGCGGCUUGAGUCGGGGUCGAUGGAUAGGAGAGCUGCAUCCUGGGGAGAUUGCGGCUGGCUACAGCAUUAGGAGUGGUCCUCCAAGUCCAGGCUGAAGACGUCCCUGCCUGGGGAAGUAAGAUACAAAGGGGCAAAUCAGGAGCCAGCCUUGUGUUACCUUGGGAUACACAGGUGAGUGCAGUGCGUGGGUGCCCUGAGGCAGGGGCUGGAGGUGCCUGACAGGCACAUGAGGAAAGGUCACACGCCAUAAACA
rnacentral:lncRNA from 1 species